GUUUCUGUAGUGUAGCGAUUAUCACGUUCGCCUCACACGCGAAAGGUUUCCGGUUCGAAACCGGGCAGAAACA